GGCUUUGAACACCUUUGUAUCCAAAUGAGAUGGCAUCUGUUGAGAUGGAUAGAAUUCUCUGAGUGGUAAUGUUUGGUUGCCUAGCAACCAGUCAUCUGGUGUUUGGGGAAUUAGGCAAUGAGCAGUAAGUCUGACAAAAGAAAGAAGCCACAAGAUCUUUUACAAGGGCUAAUUUAAUCAUCUGUCAUCUGCUUAUCUGAAGCAUGCACACUAAAGUGGAUGGUAGAUCUGGUAAUCUGAGGCUCCGAGCUGAAACCAAGGUCCAGGGCUCUUAAUUACCAGCCCAAUCUCCAUUUCAAGCUCUUAUUUUUCAUGUCUUGGAUGCCUGCUUUUUCUUGUUCAAACUUUGGUAAAGAGUGAAGUGCUGAGUUCUUGGCAGGUUGACUGUGAAACUCACGCCGCAACCAAUUUGGAUUUUGGAUUGUUUUCCUGCAUCCACGCUACUGUGAGACCACAACGAACUGUGCUGAGACUAAUGAAGACAACAGAAAUAUAAAUAGUAAUAAUGUAGUGAGAGAAAUCAGAUAUUUACAAAGAAUUCUGGGUUCCCAGUGGAUGUUUCAUUAGUUCAUGAGUAGGUUGAAAUACAUUGUUGAACUAAUGCCAAGUUUAUUUUCUUAGAUUUUCCUACAACUUCACCCAUAAUCUUAGAGUUAAGUUGUAUCACGGUUUAUCAGUCUUGCCACAAAAUGUAUACAUUGAAUUCCUG
rnacentral:lncRNA from 1 species